GAUUUGACUCAGUGGUUAGAGCGUAGGUCUCGUAACCGAAAGGUCGCGGGAUCGAAUCCCGCUAGAGCU
rnacentral:tRNA from 1 species